rnacentral:rRNA from 1 species
AACGAACGUUGGCGGCGUGGAUUAGGCAUGCAAGUCGAACGAGAAAAUUUCCUUCGGGAAAUGAGUAAAGUGGCGAACGGGAGAGUAACGCGUGGGAAACCUACCCUUCAGCGGGGGACAACAGUUCUAACGAGCUGCUAAUACCGCAUACGAUCCGGCGGCCGCAUGGUUGCCGGCUGAAAGAUGGCCUCUGCUUGCAAGCUGUCACUGAAGGAUGGUCCCGCGUCCCAUUAGCUAGUUGGCGGGGUAACGGCCCACCAAGGCGACGAUGGGUAGCCGGCCUGAGAGGGUGUCCGGCCUCACUGGGACUGAGAUACGGCCCAGACUCCUACGGGAGGCAGCAGUCGAGAAGCUUCGGCAAUGGGCGAAAGCCUGACCGAGCGACGCCGCGUGAGCGAUGAAGGCCUUAGGGUCGUAAAGCUCUGCCAGGAGGGAAUAAAUACCUGCGGUUAAUACCCGCGGGGGUUGAAGGUACCUCCAGAGGAAGCGCCGGCUAACUACGUGCCAGCAGCCGCGGU